UACGGGGGGGGCAAGCGUUGUUCGGAAUUACUGGGCGUAAAGGGCUCGUAGGCGGCCAACUAAGUCAGACGUGAAAUCCCUCGGCUUAACCGGGGAACUGCGUCUGAUACUGGAUGGCUUGAGUUUGGGAGAGGGAUGCGGAAUUCCAGGUGUAGCGGUGAAAUGCGUAGAUAUCUGGAGGAACACCGGUGGCGAAGGCGGCAUCCUGGACCAACACUGACGCUGAGGCGCGAAAGCGUGGGGAGCAAACGGG
rnacentral:rRNA from 1 species